ensembl:lncRNA
CCUACUUCCUGCUCCAUAAUCUCAGCUUCUUUUCCCUACUUUGCUAUUUGAACAGGAUGCUAUGUGUGUGUUUAUAUAACACAUAGAGAGGAUCAGAUUUGAAAAGAACUGAAGCACUUUCUGAAAUCACCUUCAAAACAGGAAAAUAUUUUAGAAAAUUAAAAGUUAGUGAAGAUGGAAGGGAAGAGUACAUCUGUUCUCUCUUGUAAACCAUCUUACUCACCAGCACAGAAUGUUCUAAUGUUGCCAGGAAGACUGUCAUGGAGAAUAUGGGGAGUGCUUUCUUCAACAUUUUUCUUCCUGGAGAAGCUUGCUGCAGAUGGUUUCCCUGAUGUGAACUAGGCCAUUCUCGUUGGAGGAGGAGCUCGGGGAUGUGCUGUCCCUGGGAAUGGCUGCUGUUUUUGUCUCUGAUCUUGAUCAUUCCUGGCUCCAGUGUGGAUCCCUCAGCAUGGUAGCACAAAUCCUUCAUCUCACCAAGAGACAACACAUUCCGACUGUAAGACCCCAAGCUUCUCAAAUCUGUGCUAGCCUGUGAAUGAGGGUACUCACAUCCCUGGAGACAUGCUGGACCAAUGAUCAUGAGCCGAGAUUGCCGGAGGGACUGGAAAUAAGAGGAGAGGCAGGAGACCCUUGUGGUUAUCACCUAGCACUCCUGACUAGAGAAAGUGUCCUUCAUGACGGACCUGAGGAGCAGGUGGAGAAAUAAGGAUUUGAGGGCAACCACAGCUCACAAACCUCACUAUACACAGACUUCAACUUAUGAGGGUUCAAUUUAUGGUAUUUUGACUUUAUGUUGGUACAAAAGCCAUGUGCAUUCAGUAGAAAUUGUACUUCCAGUUUUGAUCUUUCCUAGGCUAGCAGUGGCUGGGCAACAGCACUGAGCCAUGGCUCCCAGUCAUCCAUGUGGUCACAAGGUGGAACGAGAGAGACUCUGGCACAUUGUGUUGCUAAGCUGUGAUACUCAGUGGGUUAGGUGAAUUAAAGGCAUUUUUGGAUUUAACAAUAGUUUCCUCUUACUAUGGGCUUAUCAAGGAGUAACCCCAUCAUAAACUGAGGAGUGUCUGUGGUCUGGAACUGAGUCCCACUUAAGAGAGUCACUUACAUUUAAGAUGUGCAUAUAAUCCAGGAAGAGGAGAAAGGGUGAUAAUCACCACUCUGUAACACGUGACUGUAUACACUGACACAUUCCUGUGGAGUCACACCCAGAGGAACCGUCCCUUUAGAAAACAUGGAGGGAACGGCACACUAGUCAGAUAAGGGUUAAUGAAAAGAGGUGGGAUUAGAAGGGGGCUGAGUACAAGAUGGCCUCAGUGUCUAUUUUAAAAUAGAGCAAUCCAGGCAGCUGAGAGACAGCAGGAAGACUUUGCCAUCUUAUCUCACAGCCGCCUCUGCUGGUCCCGUCUCUGUUUUUGUAGUAAAUCAUGGAGUGAAGUGAUGCUCGGGUUCCUAGGAGACAAGGAGCAUCGUGUUGCCCUGCUUGCCUUUGGAGCAUCCAGCUGCAUAUUCUGGAGGGUGGUAGAAAAAGAUGACACCUUCCUGAUGACUUUCACACAUGACUCAGUAUGUCUGGACGCUCUUGUUGACGUCAACUUACUUGAUGUACUGGGUGACUGAGAGGAGAGAAUCAGGUUGGGUGGGUUCAGGCUCUUUCAUAUGAGACAAUUUUUAAUGUCUUUGCUUUGGGAAAGAAAGGAAACACCCAGUCCUGUUUCUUUUUUCUUAAAUUAGAGUGUGCUUUCUGCAUUAUAAAUUCUCCUAUCAUAGAUCUUAGCUUUGACUUGGAUGGUGACACAUGCAUAUCUGAGUGUGCCUGCUACAUGGCAUUAAUUCUAGUCUGAAGAGUCUGGGCUUCAGGAGGAGUCCCAUGCUGAUUGGCACCAUGCAGGAGGAAAGGCCUGCAGCAUAGUGGGCUGUCAUAAAGCAGAAGCUGGAUUGAAAACUAAGUUGCUUUUCUCUUGUGUUAAACGCACAAUGGAGUUUAGACAAUAGAGUUAGAAUUACUUACUUUGCGGGGUGGUGGUGGGGACCUAGUUGCAGGUAGUUGAAAUGACGUUGACAAAAUAGGACAAGAGUGUCAGGGAAGCCAUUCCCAAGUAAUGUUAAGAACUCAUAAAGCCAAGCUGGCACUUUCUAGGAAUGAAGUGACUGAUACCCCAACUAGGGAGAACAGGCUAUGGUCUGCAGUCUUCAGGUCUCCCAGUUUGCCUGCCCCCAAAUAUUCAGAGACAUCCUGAAAUAAAACUCAGCCCACUCUUACUGCUACCCCAGAUUUAUAAUCUGAUCAGCAAACAAGGGUGGCCCAAUAUGAAACAAUGGUAAGCAGACUGUGGCAGAUUACAAGUAAUAUAGUUCCUGCAAAAUACAGGGCAGUUGUUGGCCCAGACAGCCAGAAAGCCUUCUGAAAAAUUUGGACUAGGACUGGCUCUGAGUUUUUCUUUCUUUUGGAUUCAGGUGCGGUUUGAGUCCUGGAUUUAUCAGGAUUUGCCUUUGGCAAAUACAUAAGAUCUCCGAGGCUCAGUAUUGUCACCUACAAGAUAGGGAAAAUAAUGAUUAAAUCCUAUUUUUUUAUGAGUAUUAAAUGACAAAGUUCCUAGCUGAGUAAACAGGCA